UAGACAGAGGAUGAAAUGCAGUAGUUCACCAACAUGUUAUGUUUCUAUGAACAACCAGAUGCAAACGUCCUGGCAUUCAUCCUGCCUGCUUGCUGUUUGUACCAUCUCCGUGGUAGCAACCAUCCAAGCUGCUGGAAGCACAGACUGAGCUCUAUGAGUCAAUUAUUUUAUAUACCUGGGAACGUGCUAGCCUUCCUGUCACUCUUUGAUGUCACUAUGUAGACAGUUUGCAGCCUAGGCAACAUGGAUACAGAAUGUGAUUUCUUUCUCCAUCAUUUCCAUCUGACUAUCAUCUGGGAGAACACACAGCUGCUCCACAUCUGGUGCAACACAGGCAGAUGUAGCUGUCCAGAGGGAGAAGAGUGUUUGCUUUUCUCCACCUAAACACUGACCCUCUUCUGCUUAGAUUCAAAGACUGUCUUCCUUCUGCAGGUUUACCUGAGCCUGGACUCAAAGAAUUACCUUCAUUAUGAGGAAAAAGUGAAACACUUCACUCAGGGCGCAGAACAAUGGAAGUCCCUGGAAGGAAAGGCUUGCAAGAGAAAACCAAGUGGCUUCUGAGAUAUUCGAAAGUCCAGUUGUUUUCCCUUUUUAAAAAUUUUCAGAUGCUCUUUGAUGCCAUUUCAUAAAGCCUGUGAUUGGGCCAAAAGUCUUAGUUCACCAUGUACCACAAAUAGUGUACUCUAUAUAGCAUAUGCUUAACUAAGAAAAAAUAAAGAUUUAGAAAUAGAUCCCUAAAGCACUGGAAAUGGUUGGCCCUGAAGUGCUCCUAAGGUAACCGCAAGAUGAGGCAAAACAGGAUUGAGAUGAAAACCAAGCUCACCCACAUCCUACGUCAAUUAGCUAUUUUUUUUUCUGUGUAAACAAU
rnacentral:lncRNA from 1 species